GGCUCUGAGUUUCUCAUCUGUAAAGUGGGGACAGAUGUAAAGAGGUGGGGCUCCUGGUGGAGGUGGGGGUCCUGGUGUUUUAACUCUGAAAGCCACAAAAAUCUAUCUGCAUCAAACCUGUUGGAUUUAGUGGUUGAGUCUCAAUUAUCCAUAGGAAACUCUUCUCAACUGUCUUUGGAACUUUUGAAUAAGAUCUUUAUAAACAUUUGCAGAUUGCACACCUAUCAUGAAGCUGGAGAGCCCUUCCACACACCCAGAGUCACAGCCACAGUGGAGAAGGACUUUAAUGCAGAUGCGGAGACAGACAUUAUUUGCUGUGUUUCUGGUAUCUGUCCUGAGACCAAGCAUUAUGUACAUUUAUGGUCUGGAUGGGGGACUGGUCAUGAACUUGCUUUCAGCCCACUCAGAAAGAUGAAAGGCUGAAGUUUACUUUUGAGUCACUAUCCUUGACUUUAAGUACUUUUAGGACGUAAAACAAAUAGAGAAUGACCCAAAGCAUUGUGAGCUCUUAGAAUGCACAGAUUCACUGGUGCUGUGCAAAGGUUUCCUCCUGGUUGAAGCUGGAUGUCACUUUCCUGCUACUUUAAUAAAGAGCCACAAGACUGCUAGUAGAAAA